rnacentral:rRNA from 1 species
GGUUUGGUGGUCAUAGCGCGAGCAAAACACCCGGAUCCAUUCCGAACCCGGCCGUUAAGUGCCGCUGCGCCAAUGGUACUGCGUCUCAAGACGUGGGAGAGUAGGGCACCGCCAAACCU